rnacentral:rRNA from 1 species
UACAGAGGUCUCAAGCGUUGUUCGGAUUCAUUGGGCGUAAAGGGUGCGUAGGUGGCAGGGUAAGUCGGAUGUGAAAUCCCGGGGCUCAACCUCGGAACUGCAUUCGAUACUGCUUUGCUUGAGUACUGGAGAGGAGAUUGGAAUUUACGGUGUAGCAGUGAAAAUGCGUAGAUAUCGUAAGGAAGACCAGUGGCGAAGGCGGAUCCCUGGACAGUUACUGACACUGAGGCACGAAGGCCAGGGGAGCAAACGGG